rnacentral:tRNA from 1 species
GCGCCCAUAGCUCAGCUGGAUAGAGCACUUGGCUACGAACCAAGGGGUCGGGAGUUCGAAUCUCUCUGGGCGCGCCA